AAAUUAAUAAUAAUUUAACAUGAAUUGCACAAUAAAAUAUGAGUAUAAUAUGCCCUUAUCAUACCCCUACAUCGGGAGAUGUUUCGCGUGCUCAUCAAUCACCUACAGAUGCAACGGCAAGUGCUUCUUCGGGAAAAAAAAAGGAAAAAAGGUGAAUCUGACUUCUCCACAAUUUCUCAGGGCUUGAAUACAAUAGCAAUCGAAAUGAAAGAAGCUUGCAUGAUGAUCUCAAAGAGUGUUCACUCAGACGUUUAUCAAGAGAAGUUCCUUGAACUUCCGAGAGCUCUUCAUAAUGUUGAUGGUCUGACUUCAGCACAAGUUCGCAUGGCUAUUCAAAAGUUCGGUAACCAUCCGAAUUAUAUUAUACUUUUCUUUGGUACCGAGCCAGAGUAUCGCUUGGAAAUGGUGCAGGAUUUCCUUACGAAUCAAGCACCGCCUUCUACGUCUAUGUAGACGACGAGCUCGUCGGGAGUGGCGAGUAUCGGCCCAAGAAGGAGACUGCGAUCAAGUUUCCCUGAAAUUGUUGAUUUCGGUGGUCUUUUUUUUGGCUCAUUGAAUUGUUAAAUCUUUGUUGCAGACAUUUUAUCGGGGACGGACUUUUGUGGGUGAUUUGCUCCUUAUGUUGAAUCUCGUACUUAAAUAUCAGUAUACAAGGCUUAGAUUGUUGUGCUUUUGGGGAAGACAGGAUCCUGAGUCUGGAGAAGAGAUACUUUAGGAAUUCCAGAGACUGGGUCGAUAACAGAUGGGUCGAGAUUAAGCCGAAACUGGACAUAGUCUCUUUCCUAUAUUCAAAUGGAUCUCACAGGCCAAAACUUCCCCUGUGCUGUAAUAGCAUGGACGAACGGGAAGAGCUGCCCCCAUUGAAGGAUGUCAGUGGUCCCUCAACUCCCAAUGCCAGAGUCAUCACAGAAGAUAAACAAGAAUCCCCAGGGGAAACUCACACCGUUGCACAGAUGAGCGAAGAAGCAGUUUUGUCUCCGUGAUGGGGAUGAUACAUAACAAUAACAUGAUGUAUAAAAAGAGAAGGAAGAAAACAGGAGGAGGUGAUGGUAAAGUGUAAUGAUGAUGUUGGUGGUCAGGGAAGAUGAAUUUGAUCUUAUGAUAGAACGGUUAAAUAUAGUUAAUGUGGUUCGAGUCUUUGGCCGGGAAAGUUGAUUGUCAAAGAUCGGGUUCGACAAGUACUUGUAGAUAAUAGAUAUGUCAUAGGAGUGGGAGCAACCCCUUUCUUUCUUUUGUUAAGGGGAAUUAGCUGCUAACCACAACAGUAACAGAGCAUAUAGCUGAAGAGGCAGAUAAUAAUAGAUGAGCUGAGGGGCAUUUUGACUUUUUGUUGGGUACUUUCGUCUCAGCCACUGGGCAUUUACUCAUAUAUUAGCAAAACCUGUAAAUCUCAGUAGUAUUAAUCAUGCAAUGGAAUUCACAGUUCCAUGCU